AGCUGUAGUGACACAUUCCUCGUUAAGGUAACAUACAGAAGCAGAGAGGCUGGAGAUAAGCUGUGGGGUACCUGUUGGGAAAGGAAAACAGGAAUUCGUGAAGAGGAAGAAGCUGAAGAGCUUUGGAUACCAUGGUUGGAGGUGUCGUAUGCAAGUGCAGGCUAGUCAGGAAUAGCUGGGUUGUUUCUACAGCUGGCCUGUUCGCUUGAAUAACCCUGCCGAGAGAAAGCGAACGCGUUCCUGCCUGUCAGCAAAACCCCUGCGAGGAUGAAGCGGCCGCACUGCCACCGCGCGUUGCCUGCCUGGAACAGCACGACCCUGCGCCCUGCUGCUUUUCCUCCGCGGGUUACCGCCUACCAAGAGGAUUAGAGACCAUAAUUCUCCUGAAUCUUAUAUAACUCUGCUCAGGUGGAAUGAGCUUGGUGCUACAGUACUGUUGUCAGAAGAAACAGUGUCAAAAUCUGCCAUGCUCUUGAUGAGAUAGAAAACCAUGAGACUGAGAAGAGCACAACUGAGGAUUGAAAGUCAUCAACAAAAGAUAGGUCAAUGGAAUAUUAUUAAUUUUGAGGAGCACAUUUUGUGACAACAGAAGUCCAUCUGAGGUAAAUGCAGGACCUGCUACAGGAGUACCAGAGUAAAAGGAAGAGGCACAGUGCAUGGGUUAGUUUUCAAAUUGCUAGAGGAAAUUAACAUAGAAAUAGCUGAUAGGAAUAAAGAGUCUAUGUUUAUUUAGGGAUAUUUUAGGGGUUGCCUACUGAAAACUAAAACAAGGCCUGUUGAGGUAGUCUUGGGAGAAGAAAAGCAAUAAAGUAGCACCAACACUAUUAGUGAUGUUUGAUGUUCAAGACAUUUUGCAAUUGUAUUCUGUAAGGGAACAGUUUAACAGUUAUGUCUUUUUUUUUUUUUAAGCUGAGCGUAUCAGCGCCUUGACUUCAAACAGUCAGUGUUUGUUAGCCAGGAGUAAAGACUGAGAAGUAAGAAGAGGAACCAUGGCUUAUUCUGAGGAAGGUGGAAUCUGUUUUUAGCUUAUAGAUGAGAAAGAGUGACAUAUUCUGUUCUUUUCAAGAGGAAAGAAUGUAGGAAAGAAGGUGGAAGAAAGAACAGUGUAAAGAGAUGGGAAGAGGGUGUGAACUUUCAAUCACAGUGAAAAUGGAUACUUUACCUUCCGUAUAAAAAUAGCAAGAACAGUUCAUGAAAUAUUUGAACUUGUGGUCGAGUCAAUCUACUCCAAACUUUAAUGUACUUUGAAUUGUGUUCCCAUAUUUUUAGUGUCUCUUUGUUGAAAAAAAAAAUUGCAAAUACAGACAAAUUAUGUGUUAUGAUAAGCAUACUAGUAAGACUACCAAUAUACUAAACUGUUGUAAUAAACAUAAAUCUGAAAAUUUAAAAUAAGUUUCUGAAAGCAUAAAUGUGUUGAUAUAUCAUAAAAUGUCCAAUUAAAAUUCGGGAUAUUUUAUUUUCAUAUAUCAAUCUUUAUGUUUUUUUGAGUGAGACAGAGAAUAAAGAAAAAUGAUUGGUCACACAAGCCUGUAAGACUUUUUAAAAAUUAUUUUAUGCAGGAAAGAAUAAAGGGUAGGUUGAAGCUAUCACACUAUGUACUGGAGAGGCAAUUGGAGUACUAAUGCAGUUUCCUCUUUCAUAUCCUCUAUAUGAUAUCUUCCCAGAAGCAGAAGGCUGUACUGUGGAGUCUUCUGUCAUCAUGAGACUCAACUCAAAUGUACACCAUUUUCAUAAGGAAUUGAAGAUUCACCUCUUGAUACACUUACAAGUUGAGGCCCAAAGAGAAAAGAAGAUUGCAAUAUCCUAUCAGUAUGACAUGGAAGUGAAAAAAAACCCACGCAGUUAUACUGAGUUAUUAUGAUUCAAGAGCUUACAGAUCUAGAGGGGGAUUUUUACACAAGCACAGUUGUUCAGGAGAAGCAAGGAUAAAAAAUGAUGGGUUUUAAGUAAUGACUGCAUAGUGUGAUCUAAGUGUCACUGAAGGUGAGAAGAUGUUUGCAUGAUUUUCAGCAGCAAUGUCAUCUCUUUUGUUGUUGUUGUUAUUGCUUUAAAUUGAAGUAGCAGGGAUAAGGAAUAGCUUAAAUGAAGAUAUUUCUUGCAUGUUAAACAAAAUGAGGCAUUGGAAAGUGUGAACUUUAACUUUGACAAAGAGGAAAGGUUUUUUGCUUCAAAAUAUGCCAAAACCCAAUUAGAAUAAUUGUACAAAAAGUAUUCUAUUGCUUGCAAGCACUAGACACUGAAGAGGAUCAAGGGUAUGCAUCAACAUCAUUAUUAUCAAGUAACUGCUUGUAUAAGAUGUUGAAGGGAGGCUAAAGUAAGCUUGAGAAUGCUUGAGAGGGUCAACCUUCCUUCAUUCUUUAAAUCACUUUAGAUUAGGAGUCACUGAAGUCAAAAUGGAGUCAUAGCCCAUGAAAUCAGAGGAACUGCUUCAUUAUUGUCAAGUACAUUUAAGGAGAGCCAGGCUAAGCUACUGUACAGAGGAUUCAAAUUUAUAUUAACAGUGUUGUGCACUCAGUUCUUUCUACUGUGAUUUGGCCUUUUGUUCUGCUGCUCUCUGUUCUUCCUGUAUCACCUCACUGUGCCUGUGUAAGGUGAUUUUCCUCACUCUUUUGGGUUUUGAUGAAGCAUGGAAUUUUUCUGGGAGUGGUUGGCUUGCUAGUCUAUAUCAGAUUGUAUUCCUCUCCAGUCUGUACAGAUUCUACCACAGGAUGGUAUUCCCCUGAAUUUCCCCAAAAAGCAAUCAAUAAAAGCAAGUUCUUGCAGGCUGUUCAGCAUCUAAUUAUCUGCUUUGUGUGUACAAUAUGGAUCACAAGAAUCUUUAUAGUGCAGGUCUGUAUUAAAUCACAAGGAUGGGAUGCAGAGAUUUUGGAGAUUUUACGAGGAAGCCUGGCAGAAAUUGCAACUCCAGUGGGAGCAGGAGAAUGACUGAGACUGAGGAAUGGCUUGUUGGGCACAUAUGUUAGUGUUAAUUAACUGUGCAUUUGUCAUCUGCUGAAGGAAAAGAAGUAACAGAGGAUUGGUCAUGCUGAGUGGAAAAGGCACAAGAAAAGUGCUAUGGCUGGAAUAGAUGGCUCUGCUGAAAAGGAAAGAGGUGAUCUGGAUGGAAUUGCAGAGGGACAGAAGGAGGAGAUGGCUUGGUUGAGUGAACACACAUGCUUAUCAGCAUCAGAUUUUAUUAUCCAAGAGUGACCAGCUGCUAGAGAACUGGUAAUAAUCCACUCCCUCAAACAGAUGUGGACCAACAUAAAACAGCGAGUAAGGAAGAAAGGAUUCCAGGGUUGAUCACCAUUGCACCACACUCCUCCAGCGCGGAAUUUUGAAAGUAGGGUGUCCUUACCAUACACAUAUUUGUUGGUUUGUGAUGUGCAUAAAAUAACUUUUUCUAUCCUCAACAGAAAGAAAACCCACAGAUGAGUUCAUCCUACUAUGGAAGAUGCUCACAGAACGAUAAGUCUAGAAGACUUCCACUUUCAUGGGUGUUUGUAAGCACAGGCGUUGGAGGGGACAUGCCACAUGCAUGUGUGACCAUCCAGGUGUGCCCAGAACUGAGGUGGUUUUACAUCAGUGCCAGGGCUCAAAUGAGACAGAAAUGUAGCAAGGUAGUGCACACUUUGCUUAAGUAACAAAGUUGAGAUCAUGUAAGCUCUAUCCUGUGGCACCAGGAAGUGACCACGAUGGGCAGAAUCCAUUAGCACCAUGAAUUUUGCCAAGUGGAACUAGAAUGGACUUAAUUUUGAUGUCGUUUGCAGCUGGGUAGCAAGGAGUAGAAAAUGCCAGUUUGGCAUCUACCACGUGUUGAGCACGUGUUUUUUUUCUAUCUAUUUUGCUUCAAAACAUGCAUUGAAAAAUACUGUGGGUAUUUACCUUCAGAUACUGAAAGUUCU